rnacentral:rRNA from 1 species
GACGAACGCUGGCGGCGUGCCUAAUACAUGCAAGUAGAACGCUGAAGCGAGGAGCUUGCUCUUCUUGGAUGAGUUGCGAACGGGUGAGUAACGCGUAGGUAACCUGCCUGGUAGCGGGGGAUAACUAUUGGAAACGAUAGCUAAUACCGCAUAAAAUUGAUUAUUGCAUGAUAAUUAAUUGAAAGAUGCAACUGCAUCACUACCAGAUGGACCUGCGUUGUAUUAGCUAGUUGGUGAGGUAACGGCUCACCAAGGCGACGAUACAUGGCCGGCCUGGGAGGGUGAUCGGCCAACCUGGGACCGAGGCACGGCCCAGACUCCUACGGGAGGCAGCAGUAGGGAAUCUUCGGCAAUGGGGGGAAACCUGACCGAGCAACGCCGCGUGAGUGAAGAAGGGUCUCGGAUCGUAAAGCUCUGUUGUAAGAGAAGAACGGGUGUGAGAGUGGAAAGUUCACACUGUGACGGUAUCUUACCAGAAAGGGACGGCUAACUACGUG